UUUUCCUCAACUCUGCUAUAUAUAAUAGCUUCUCUUGUUAAUCUCUUCUUCAUCCAAAUUCCAAACCCUAGCCAACUAGUAGAAGCAGCUAGCAUCACUUAAUAUUCAAAUCUCAUCUUCAGAAGCUUAAUUUCUUUUUAGUUAUUGUUUUCCAUCAUGCACCAUACCAAGUUGAAGCUGCCAGCAUGAUCUUAACUGGCCUCCUUUGUAGGUUAAAGAUCAGAUCAUGGUGGCAGUUUCACCUAGUUGUUGGCUGCAUGCAUAUACCCUUCUUUUUUGUUUUCUGUUUUUGUUUAAUUCUAUGCCCUAUCUUUUUAUAGAUUUUUCUUGAUAAUUCUUUCCCUGUGUGGGAAAUAUAUACCAGAAGAUGAGUAAUAUCGAUUCAUUAUUUUUCUUCAGCCUUUAUUGCUCUUAAAAAAGUUGAUUAUGUUUCUUUAGCUUUUAACAAGGAUAUAAUUAAGAUUUUAUGAUUAUUUAUUUAUUCACUGCAAGAAAUCAGAAAAUAUUAUGUGAGUGAAAUUGAAAAGUUUGUAAAGUAGAUGAAGAAAUUGGAGUGGCAGCUUCUAGUAGAUGAAGAAAUUGAAUGUUUGUUGCACGGUGCAAUGCAUUAAUUCCAGAACAACUAAAUCUGAUUCUUGCAGUGCUUCUUUUUUAUGAUAUUUGCAUUAAAUUUAUAUGUCAAAUGGGGAUUUUUAUUUUUUUCUAGCCCUUUCUAUUUCUUUGUGGUGAGAUGAUAAUAGUUAAGAAACUAUAGGGUUGUUCAUGAUGUCUUGAUUUUUUAAGAUUCACAUGAACUCUUUUAAGUUUUAAGGUCCUUUCUUUCCUCUUUUAUUUUUUUCAAAGAUCUAAAAUUAAUCAGGAAUUAUUAAGAGAUUGAGAGAGAAUAGAGUCAUAUCUUGUACUUCAUACAGUUUUCCCAUGACAUUUUGAGAUUAUUAGCUUAAUUGACUUAAUUACAUUAUAUUUAUACAUGUACUAGUCUAGCAUGAUAUCAAUAUUAAUUACUAGCUUCAAAUAAAUAAUUAAAUAAUUGAAGAUUGUUGUUCAUAUUACAAGGUGAGUUGCAUCUACUUAUAGAUUGAUUUGAGGAAGAAUGAAUCUGAAAAUGGGACAAAAUAACAAUUCCAUUGCUGAAGUCAUGGUAGAUUCCCAAUAUCUCAAUGUACUUAGUUUCCUCAUAUAUCUUGCUAGUAUAUAUAUGAGUACUGCAACCUUUUUCCUUUCGAUUUGAAAUUUGGACCAUUCCUUUAUAUAUAUGCUAUGCAUCAUGAGACAAUCAUGUGAAUCAAUUUUUACAUUGAACUUGAUUUUCCUUGGAAGAAUCUCACAUAUAUGGAUAAUGAAUUGAUGUCAUCAUUGUCAUGACUCAUGAUAUGCAGGUUUCUGACAAGAAAUACUAGCACAUGAACCACCAUAUCUUCAUAAAUCAAUACUAUAUGAUAUCAUAUCUGGUUGUUGUAGUUGUAUCAGUUUCAACUUCACUCUCUUUAAUUUGUCCUUUUGGGUGGCAGCUGCACAUGGUAUACCACAUAAUGGAAAUAUUUGAGACUAUAUUGGUGAUCAGGAAAAUGACCUAUUGGUUAGAAAAUUAAAGGCUAUCAAGAACCUUUUAUUUCUUGUUUUAGUUAGAGCUAGUGACAUGAUAGAUGUAAGACAUAUAUGUCAUUAUCUAUUUUAUAGAUUGUGAGUUUUAAAUGCUUACUGUAAUAAUUUUGGUGGUUAGUAGUAAGGGUAGGAGAAGGAAAGAAGAUGGUAUUGUGUUGCAAUACUAAGUCAUUUUCCAUUUAGUUUGUAUAGAUAGAUUAACUGCAUUGUAAAAUAUACAACAUUGAUAAGUGAUUUUGAAUAACCAUUUCCAUGUAAUUUUAUUAA